rnacentral:sRNA from 1 species
CAUGAAGGAACGCAGACUAAGAACGCCACGUCCUGCCAAAAGCUACUGCUUUCAGUCAUACGAUUAUCGCUGCCACAGCUUACCUGUCCUGUGGCAACGUCUGCAUGACCCCCAUCCUGGGUG